GGGGAGGUGGCUCAGUGGUAGAGCGCUUGCCUCACAUGCAUGAGGCACAGGGUUCAAUUCCUCCGCACCA
rfam:Dipodomys ordii contig_57096, whole genome shotgun sequence.